rnacentral:misc_RNA from 1 species
GGAACAUUGUAUUCGCUCUACUCUUCCUCCUCAUUUUUGGAUUUAUUGAGGGUGUCUAUCUUUCCUCCGCACUCAGAAAAGUACCAAAGGGAGGUUGGGCGCCACUCGUCCUCUCCUUCAUCUUCAUGGUUGUCAUGUAUGUCUGGCACUAUGGAACUCGACGGAAAUAUCUCUUCGACCUACAAAACAAGGUCUCAAUGAAGUGGAUUCUCACGCUUGGUCCUAGCCUCGGAAUCGUUC